rnacentral:rRNA from 1 species
UGGGGAAUAUUGCACAAUGGGCGCAAGCCUGAUGCAGCCAUGCCGCGUGUGUGAAGAAGGCCUUCGGGUUGUAAAGCACUUUCAGCGGGGAGGAAGGCGUUAAGGUUAAUAACCUUGGCGAUUGACGUGACCCGCAGAAGAAGCACCGGCUAACUCCGUGCCAGCAGCCGCGGUAAUACGGAGGGUGCAAGCGUUAAUCGGAAUUACUGGGCGUAAAGCGCACGCAGGCGGUCUGUCAAGUCGGAUGUGAAAUCCCCGGGCUCAACCUGGGAACUGCAUUCGAAACUGGCAGGCUAGAGUCUUGUAGAGGGGGGUAGAAUUCCAGGUGUAGCGGUGAAAUGCGUAGAGAUCUGGAGGAAUACCGGUGGCGAAGGCGGCCCCCUGGACAAAGACUGACGCUCAGGUGCGAAAGCGUGGGGAGCAAACAGG